UUUUAAUUUUUUCACUUUUCUCAUGGACAAUCUCCACAUUUUAUGUCAUUUCUUUUUCUUGAAGUAACUAACCUUGAAUGGAAAAAUUGGUAUUUUUCUUUUCCCACCAGCAUGUUGAAUCAUCCAUUUGUCUGGUAACUUGAGACAGCCGGUAGAGGAGUCACAAGAGUAGGUACCUUUCCAUGAGCUCACCUCUGUUCCACUCCCAUCUCAUAAAGGGUGUGACAGAUACUUCACAGAAGGCAAGGAGAAAACAGGUCAGAAGUAUGUUAUUGGGGGCUUAGCACUGAUUUUGGUUCUGACAAGCUGGCCACUCAGAGACAGCAGUAGCUAUGUCUGUCUCAGUAUGUGGUAGACCAUGCUGUUGGGCCCAUAUAUAUAUAGCCUCCAUGCCUGCCACUGGGGCUACUUCAUUCACGUACCCACUGUGUCAGUUCUGGGAUGACUAAAAUCAACUGGGUCAUCAUGAGUGAAGUCUUGAGCCACUGAGCCACUACCACCUUGUGCCAAAUACUAUCUGUGCCCUGCCUGCCAACCAGGAUGACAACCCUUCACCUGCCAGGUGGAGAGAGACAGCAGCAGGCUAACUAGUUGUCUGUUAAGAACAUCCAGAGCAGGACCAGAAUCUGGGCCAGGAACUGAGAGACAGAUUGGGACAACGGAACAAAUCUACCAGGGUAUGCUGGCCAACUUAGUCUUCUAUUAUGAUCAAGGAAGGAUGGCGCCUGAGAGGUCAUUACUAUGUGACUGGUCUUCAUAUAUUGCUUCUAUGUUUGAUUCUUCCUCCAGAAAUGUUUCAAUAGCAAACUCAAUGAGUUUACGUAGCCAGAAUCUUAGUCAAUAACCUACUCUGCAGUAUCUUAGGGCUGACUUUGUACAUAUGGAAGUCAGCCAGAUCUCAUGAGUGGAUCAUUAAGCUAGAAUUAUUUUCUUGGCACACGUUACAGUAAGGUAAUAUAUGACCUAGGCCUAAGGCAGGCCAUCAACCUGUCAAGAGUAAUGACCCCCAGGGGUAAGGCCUUGCUGUCUCCACCUCAAGGAUGGGUCUUCAAAGUGGAGACAAUAUAGUCCCUAUGGUUUCUACAUGCUUAAUGAGUCUGUUAUGUGAAUUAUAAAGAUAAUAUCUAUGGGGACUUUGAGCUCCUACAAUAAAAAUGUAUAAAUAUAAUCCAAGAAAUUCUGGUAGACAAACAUUGUAAUAAUGCAUAUCAGUCUUUGUAUCUCCAUUUAGUUUUUUUAAAACUUGGCUUGUGUCCAGAAGUAUGCACAGAUAUACAUAGCAAAUGCUCAGUGCUGAAUGUUUAGCUAAAUCCUGUGCUUCAAAGCAAGGAUGAAUAGAUUUUCAUCAGAGCUCAGGACCUGAACUGUAGGCUUCCCUCACAAUGAGAAGUAAAGCUAAGUAUAGGUGAAUCCUGAGUGGCACAUAUUCUAUGAGAGUUUUAUACAUAAUUUGAAUGAUUGAUAUGCUGCAUCUUUCAUUGAAAUGAUUGUCAACCAAUAUUAUUUCAAGUGUUAUUUCCAUGCUAUUUCUAGUUCUGUAUGUUUUACGUAAUUAUAAAUGGCUUCAUAUUUUCAUGUAACAUUGUAUGAUAUGAUUUGGGUUCUAACAGGUUAUCCUUGACACCAGUAUAGAAUACCCAGAAUUAAUUUAAGGUAUAUUAUCAAACCACUAAAAUUAGGAUGUCCAUGAAUUCUGAAGGAGAAAAUAUCAUUUAGAUUGUGUGUGUGUGUGUGUGUGUGUGCGCGUGUGUGUGUGUCCUCUAAGUUUUAAACAUGAGGUGGUUAUAUAAAGGGGACUUCUAAAUUGGGAGAGGAUGAAAAUGGGCUAAAUAUUUCAAACAAACUUCAGUGUGAAAUCAGUAGUAUAUUCAGUAGAGGUGACAGGGAAAAAAGCUGUGGAGGAGAAAAGAGAACAAGAAAAUCAGGAAGCAGUAAAAAUGAUGACUGAGGUCAGGUGGUAAUGGUAACAUCAAGAAACUUGAAUCUGAUGGAAAAAAACCACGGGUAGCUAUAAAAGGGGCAUUCGAAAUAGGAAAUGAUGUGAGAGGAGAAGAUAAUUUUAGUAUAGUUAAAGGAGGUAGCAGCUAUAGGUGUGAAGAGAACGGAUUAAUUUUAAAUGUGUCCCAGAAGUAAGAGAAAUAUUUUUUUGAGGAGUGGGGGAGGAACAAUGAGAUAAACCUGGUUGAGUGUUUUAUGGUUAUCUCAAGUAAGAGUCCACUUGGAGUAUUAUGUCCAUUUUUGGACACCAUACUUUCAUAGGCAUGUUGAUGAACCAGGUCAUUCAAGACACCAGGGUAGUGAGAAGUGUGUUAAUAGUGCUUCUACCAGAGAGUUAGAGUGACAUGGCAGCUGUCCUCAUAUCUAUCGAUCUGUCAUAAGGAAGAAAGAUCACAUGCCUCUGCAUUGUUUAAAAGAAAGAAACAGACCCAAAGAAAGUCAGGAGGCAGAUUUUGCUCAAUAUAAUGAUCUAACAAUUAGAUGUGCCCUGUAACAGAGUGCGCUAUUGUAAAGUAAUGUUCUCCCAUCUUUCCAAGUAUUCAAGCAGAGAAUAGUCAAUAAUACAACUAACGACUGGAAGGGUUUCUUUUAUUCUAAGGUACUAUCAGAUGGAGGAACAUGUAGUUUGUGGUCAGUGACCUCAGGUUCUCACAUUCACGGUGCUGCAUCCUGGUUUUCAUUUGGGGACUGUUUUCUGGCACUCCCGCCUGUCUGGAGGUGAGAUAUGCUUGUUAUGACAACCCUUCUGUCACAAUAAAUUGGCUGGUGCAUUCAGUGUCAUCUAUGGCUUUUUACUUCUAUUAAUUCAUUAAUUCCGGGCCCCCAAGCGAAAGUUUCCAAAGGCCUUUUUUCUUCUUUGUUAAUUAUAACAUGAUAUCAAUCAGCACCCAAGCAGAAACUAGAAGAGUAUUCAAACUAGGUAAUUUGAGGAGAGUUUAAUAAAGCAACAGCUUACAAAGAUGUGGACAGUGGCUUAAGGAAGCCACUAAAGGAUGGCACAGUCCUCCAGGCUUGUGAUCAGGGGAGUCAUUACCAUCCCCCAGCCUGAAGAUCAAGAGGCUGGAGCUAUUUCCAGACCCUGAAGAGGGUGGUUGUAUGGAGAGGACUAUCUGAAAGAAGAGGCUGUAGCCAACACAAGAAAGCCAGGGAAUAAAUAAUCCAUCCUCACUCUCCUGCUGUUGCCUCUCAAUGGCCAAACCCAACCAUGAGCUGGGCAUGAAGGGAGCUAGCUGACAGCUAUAUGGCUCAGCUUCCUGGGGCCCAGAGCAGAGUGGAGCUGAGAAGAGAGUGAAUCUGGAGGGGUUAAUGGAAGAAACCACAGAAAGCAAAUUCCUCCCUGAGAUACAGUUGGUGCUUAGGCAAUAUUUGUACUGACAGGAAUGUGGCCACAUAUUUUGGAAAAGCUCAGGGACUCAAUCCUCUGCUAGCUGCUUUGAGGCCAUGUCUGCCGAAGUCACUGUCCUCUACAGGGUUUUUUCCUCAUGUUCAGUGUUUAGUCCUUUCCACCUUCACGAAAACGAUGCCUACUUAAUAUACAGAAAGGAGGACAUACAGAAAUUUUUCAUCUUAAUUGGAUAUUACAGUUGCCCCACUUUGGAGCCAAGAAGAGCUGAAUAAAGCUGAGAAACACCUAAACAGAAAGGCAAGUUUACCAUGAAGUAAGAAACGUAAGCUUUGGACCCCUUAAUUGCUUGAGCCUCCGUGAGUAUUGGGAGUUGGUGUGGGUUGUAGAAUGUUGUCAGUAGAGAGAGAAGUCAGAUUGCAUUUCUAUGUAAAUAUUUUGGGUAAAUUGCUUAGAGACAUGUCAGAAGAAAGGGACCUGGACUCUCAAGGCUCCAGUAACUUAUUAUGAAUCCUUUUCUUAUCCUUAAUAAAUAUUCUUUUUUGUACCUAACUUUAUAUUUCUAAUUUUAUGUUCUUUUUCUUGAGAAGGAUCAGCCAAAUAAUAUACGUUUUAGCCCCCACAAAACCUGGAUCACUCAACCUACAUGGAACUUUAAUCAUACUCAAACUAGGUCAGCAGUCAGUUUAAAGUGUAGGGGUAGGGGACAGUAAAAGGGACUUUAUAUGGAAGCCACGGAAAGUUUUCAUAGGAGAGAGAAAGAGUGCAUGUGCAUGUGGUACUAACAUGGACUCAAACUUUACUCCUGGCCACUGCUCCAUUUCUUUCUUGUAUAUUUGUGUUCCUUGAACAUAUACUUUAUACUAAAUGCAUCUACUUCUUAACCACAUAUAGGACAUUGACUUUCUUUAAUCAACUUUGUUCUCCUUCCCCUUGUACUUCUUCUAUCCCUAGAAGCUGCUACCCUCAACUAGGAUAUUUCUGGCAACUUCAGGAAAAUUGAAAGGACAAUUUCUAGUGCCAUUAUCUUUGCAACCUUUGACUGGAUGCCACCAGUUCACCCUUUUCAACUGUAAUUAUAAUGACUUCCUUAAAGUGUUGUCACUAACUCUGGCUUCUAUGACUUCAUUUGCUAUUUUACCACUUUCUGGUAUCUACUGGCAUUCUUGGGUAUAAUCUAGGAAUUAGUGCCCUUCCAUUGCAGUAGGUCCUGCCCAUCCUGAGACAACACACAUUUCCCUUCAAUCUUUUCCCUUGGUCUGUUUUCAUGUUGUUAACCUUCUUUUGCUGCUUCUUGCUGCUUUCUUCUCCCUCUAACUCAUCUCUCUGUUCAAUUCAUACAACUGAAUCUUCUUCCAUCUGGCCUAGUGAAACAAGCUCCUGGUAGGGCCCCCUUUCCCAGAUCUAACCUUCUUUCAUCAUUGCUCAGAGUGACUGUGACACAGGCAUCUCAAACCAUCCGACAUACCCCUCCACUCCUUAGGACUCUAUGGUGGCAUCCCUUAGCCCCAGGAAGCACAGGAGUCACAUCACUUUCUCAUUUAAGAUUCACUUGCUCAAAUCUUCUUUUGUCCAGUUCCACCCUACUUUUUCUAAAGCUGCAUGAUGCAUCUGUAGGCACUCCUUUGUACCACUUACUAUGUGUCAGACCUGGUAUCUUGAUUUGACCUCAUUUUGCUUACAGCAACCAUGUUUUUGUUUCUUGCAACAACCAAGUUUCUGUUUACUUACGGCAACCAAGUGAUUUCUGUUGUUAUCUCUAUUUCAUGGGUGAGGAAAUCGAGCAUUAGAGAGGGCAAAUAAAGUACCCAAAGUUAGAGAUUCGGCAAGUCUUUGGGUUCAUAAUAUUUGAACCCAAGCCCUCUGAUCCCAUAGUCCACAUUCUUAACCACUGUACCAGUGCUUCUCAAAGUAUAGACCACUGACCGUCGGCACCAGGGUCACUGGGUGCCUGUUAAAGUGCAAAUUCCUGGGUCCCAUUUUCUAUCUACUUACCUGAUGAAAAGGGAUCUGGUGAAAGAAUAUUCAAGGCAGAGAAAACAGCAACUGCUGAGGUGGGAAUAAGCAAGGAUCAGAAAAAGGGUGAGAGAGGCUGGAGCACAAUGAGCCCAGGAGGGUGGUAUGAGGUCCGGAGGCUUCGGAUUUUGGAUCUCUUUUCUUCUUUUCCUUUCCUUUUGCCUUUUGCCAUUCCUUUUGCCUUUUGCCUUUCCUUUCCUUUCCUUUCCUUUCCUUUCCUUUCCUUUCCUUUCCUUUCCUUUCUCUCUUUUUCUUUCUUUUUUGAGAGGGUUGCACUGUGUCACCCAGGCGGAAUGCAGUGACAAUCACAGCUCACUGCAGCCUUGACUUCCUGGGCUCAAGCAUUUCUCCCACUUCAGUCUCCCAAGUAGCUGGGACUACAAAUGCAUGCCACCACACCCGACUAACUUUUGUGUUAGGGGGUGGUCUCCCUGUGUUGCCCAGGCUGGUCUCAAACUCCUGGGCUCAAGCAAUUCUCCCGCCUCAGCCCCCCAAAGUGCUGGGAUUUUAAUUUUUUAUUUAGUUAGAUGGGAAGCUCUUGGACAGUGGUAAGCAGGCGAGCGAUAAGACCCACCUCACAUUUGAAC
rnacentral:lncRNA from 1 species